AAAAUCAUCCUCCCAGCCCCACGUGUCCAUUUCCCUGUUCGAAGCCCCAGCAGCCCCGCAGAGGGUGAGUGCUGCCACCUCACCAUCCCCAUCCCACUGCCAUCUUUCUGGCUUUUUGAUUAUUUGGAAAAGGUCAAUUGGAAGAAACAAGAGAAAGCAAUCACCGCCCUCAACCGCCAGCCUCCGGACAAAAAGAAAUGUCACUGGCUAAGGAGACAUGAUGCUACAUGUGAGGCAGUGUCCUGAAGAGGAUCCUGGAACAUAGAAAGGACCCCAGUGGAAACAUGAGGGAUCCAGUUAAAGUCCCCAUUUAGUUAGCAGUGAUGUCCCAGUGUCAAUGGUUUAGUUUGGAUAAAUGUACCAGGAUGAUGUGACAUGUUAACGCUACGGGGAGCUAGCUGCAGGAUCUAUGGGAACGCUGUGCAUUACCUUUGCAACUUUCUGGACCUCUAAAAUGAUUUCAAAAUUAAGAGUCUAAAAACAAGUUUUUAAUAUAUAUAUUUAAAUGUCUCUGGGAUAGUACCAGACUCCAGAAUGUACCCUCCGUGAUGCUGUCUGACCCUCAGCCCUAAAUGCUGUUUAAUGGCCAAAAAGACAUCAGCCAAUCUAUUUUACAUUUGCCCAGUGAGUCUUCAUGGCACUGUAGAGCUACUAAGACAAAGACAUACAGAUUUCUGCCCUCAAGAAGCUUACUCACUUCGAAGGGGACAACCAUGUAUGGAUAGCUACAGUACCAGGAGAGUGUGUGGAGACCACAGAGAUUAAUCAAGGCCCUGAAGGUGGAGAGAAUUUCAGUAGAGGCGAAAACCAAGAACCAAAGGCUGAGGGUUAGUGUAACUUUUUAGGGAGGUGGGAAUAGUCCAAUGAAGCUGAAACUUGGAGGCGUGGAGGGAAGUGGGGACGGAGGUCUUGAAGUUUUCCUGUUGUGGCUCAGUGCUUAACGAAUCUGACUAGGAACCAUGAGGUUGUGGGUUCAAUCCCUGACCUCGCCCAGUGGGUUAAGGAUCUGGCGUUGCCAUGAGCUGUGGCAUAGGUCGCAGACGCGGCUCAGAUCCCGAGUUGCUGUGGCUCUGGCGUAGGCCGGUGACUACAGCUCUGAUUAGACCCCUAGCCUGGGAACCUCCAUAUGCCAUGGGUGCGGCCCU
rnacentral:lncRNA from 1 species